UUUCAUCAUUAGUUAUCACAUUUAAUUAAAUUAUAUGAUGACAACGGUUAUGAAGAGAUUUAAGAAUUAACUCUUAGACAAUUCACCUGGUGAGAGCGCAAGUGCAUGGGACUAUUAGAGAGGAUUCUAUAUUCUAAGACAGUUGUAGUUACGUGUGCCAUCUCACAUGCUCAUCUGGAAUCUGUGUCCCUCUCCUUGAAGCUGGAGGGGCCUUGGUGACUUGCUUGACAGAGUAUGGUGAAAAUGAUGCUGUGUGACUUCCACGCUUCAGUCACAAAGAUGCCACACCCUUCUGCCUUGUUCUUUUGUCACACUGCCUCUUGGAAUGUGGCCACAUGCUGCAAGGAAGCCCAAGCAAACUGUAGAGAUGCCACAUGGACAGAAACCAAGGCCCAUAGCCCCUAGUCCUGACUGAGCUCCCAGCUGGCACCAGCACCAACAUGCCAGCCAUGUGAAUGAACUACCUCCAGUCCCAGUCAAGCCACUCUACCUCACACCAUGCGGAGUAGAGAUGAGCCAUCUCUGUUGAGCACUUCCCAAUCACAGACACCUGUGCCCAGCUGAGACUGCCACCUCCCUACCCAAGGACAGAUAUUCUUCUGGUAAUGACAACCAAGUAAAGUGCAAGUGUUUGGAGCUAAUGGCUGCCUUGUUGCCCAGUAGAAGGUUGUAACUGUACGUUUAGGAGAUCUAUCUGACCCCAUUCAUUGCCAGUGAAUUCCACUGGACUUCUUAAUUCAAGAGACAGUCCCUGGGUAAAGGAACUCUCAGCCAUAAAGGGAUUACUAAGAAACUGAAGCAGAGUGCUCUGUGAUGGGGUCCUCAUGGAGCCUGAGCAGUCAGGAAGAAGUAUGCUGUGGCAAAAAAAAAGAAGUAAAUUGUGGAUUCUGAUGCCAGCAGUGUUGGUGAAGAAGAAAAAGAAGAGGAAGGAGAAAGAGAAGAAAGAAGAGAAGGAGGGGGAGUAGGAGUAAGAGGAGAAGGAUAAGAAGAAGGAGGGGGAGGAGAAUUGGCAAGCGUUAGAGUCUACAGACAUCUUAGAGGUUAUCUAAUCUGACUAGAGGAUGCGCUGCAAUCUCCUACAUGGUCGACAGUGUUGAUUUAUUUAUUUUUUAAACAUUGUCACAUGACUUUUUAAUACAAAGGCUGUCCAGUUACUGAUGUGCACAGUGGUAAGCAGGGCCUCCUCUGCACAGUUUAACCUAUUUUGUGCUUAAACCCAAGUGUAGUGCUCACGUGGAUGACCCUGUAAAUUCACGGUUUCUGAUAUCAAUUGUCACCUCAAUGUUCCAGCAGUCCUUCUCUUUCUCAGUCCCCUUUCUUUCCCAUUAUUCAUCAGUUUCUUUUUAAACUUUCAACAAUCUCCUUUGAUCCCAACAUCUCCCUUCUUAUUCUUAGCAGAUUCAUUUAUUGAUUUUUCUCAAAAGGUAUUGGUUGAGUACCCACUCCGUGCCAGCCUUCUUCUAGGCGUCGGGGAAGAACAGUGAACAAAC
rnacentral:lncRNA from 1 species